UACUACUUGGACAGUAUUGGGACUCACAAUUUUCUCUCUUUCUAUGCUAUAUGUUUCUGUUUCAUGUGCAUAUUGUGUGUCUUUAGAUUGUCAACAGGCUACAGUUUCACUCUUGAUCAUAUUAACCCUGAUUCUGGUUCUCUUCGCUCUGACUGUUGGACUUGCACUCUACAAAAUUAGACAAUUGUCCAGCAAGCUGAAGGCUCAGAAUGAGGCAGCAGACACAUAUGCGUCUCUUCAGCUAUCUGCUCCACCCUCUGAAUAUGAGACCUUGAACAUUAAGAGAGGUGACACACAAUAAACAACAAAUAGACAUUUUAUCUCCCCCUUUCUCUUCCUUUGUCAGCUGUAUUUUGAGAAUGUUUAUAAUGCAUAUAUUUCCACAUGAAUGACUUGACAUGAGAUUUGACCUGUUUAUAAUAGAGUUUUGUUAUGCAUUCAUAAUCUAAUAGAAAACAACUAACUGCACAUGGAUUAUUUCUGUUUUCAAGCCUGAUGCAUUACAAAACAUUUUAUGCGCACAUGGACUAGUUAUUUGUCUAUUAUCAUUUCUGUCAUUUUAUGUACUAUUUCUGACAAUAUGUUUUCAAGUAGGCCUUUAAUUUGCAAUUCAUAUAGUUUCUUAAUGUUUACGUUUUGAUGUAGGAAUAUUUGUUGUUGUAUAAUAUAUCUUUGACUCCAGUUGUACCCAUCUUCUGUCUGUACAAUGUCUUUUCAUACUUAUUGAAGCUUGAAAGUGUUGAUUGCAUAGAAUUUAAUUGAAUGUACAAAAAAAGGAUGAGAGAAUUGAAAU